rnacentral:rRNA from 1 species
CCUCGGGAGGCAGCAGUGAGGAAGAGUGGUCAAGGGUCGGGAGACGGAACCAGACAAGCCGCGUGAGGGAGGAAGGUACAGAGUAUAGUAAACCUCUUUUGUCAGGGAACAAAGGCGGGGACGCGUCCCCGGAUGAGUGUACCUGAAGAAAAAGCAUCGGCUAACUCGGUGCCAGCAGCCGCGGUAAUACGGAGGAGGCGAGCGUUAUCCGGAUUUAUUGGGUUAAAAGGGUGCGGAGGCGGUCUGUUAAGUAAGCGGUCAAAGCCCGGGGCUCACCCCCGGCCCGCCGUUGAAACUGGCAGUCUCGAGUUGGAGAGAAGUAUGCGGAAUGCGCGGUGUAGCGGUGAAAUGCAUAGAUAUCGCGCAGAACUCCGAUUGCGAAGGCAGCAUGCCGGCUCCACACUGACGCUGAGGCACGAAAGCGUGGGUAUCGAACAGGAUUAGAUACCCGAGUAGUC